AACCACUGUGGUUCUUCAGACAGGUGCAGGAAGUUGUGAUUAAGAAAAUAAACAAGAGAAGUGGGGGAAGUAUAACCAAGUGGAAAGAGGAAAUGGAGUGCAAAUUGAGAACAUAAUCCAGAUUUUGUAAAGUAUGUAUUUACCUUAGGUACUUCUUGGUAAUAGCACUGCCACACAAAUGUUUAUUAAUGAUUGCAAUAACAGAAGUGAAGGGAGAGUGAUUUCAGUAUAUUAGUUAUUCCUGAAAAGGUAAAAAUCGUUUCUACAAGAGUAACAGAUAUAACAUGUAUAGAUAGUCUGUUUCAAGAAAAUACACAAUGUAAUGAAAAAAUUAUCUUGAGUGAAAAUCUUAACAUAAUGCAAAUCUUUUAAGCUUUAUUUUUAAAUCUUUUCUAUUUUUCUAAAAGUAUUAGCACAGUUUGAAAUGCCUAUUUGCUUAUAGACAAUGUUGUAUAAUGUUAAUAAAAUGUAUAUAGUAUAUGAAAUUUAAACUCUAUAAGUGAAAAUAAAUAGGCUAAGUAAUACAAAAUUAAGGAAUUUUUAAGAAAAUUCAUCUCAUUAUACCCUCACUCCCUACAGAUUCAUUUUAAAGUACUUGAUAUAUUUUUUAUUCUAAUAUUGUCACUCAAAAUUGAAUUUCUAAUUAAUUUUAACUUAUUUAUUUUAAAAACUAAAAACAUUAGGAUUUACUUAUUUAUCUCACCUUAAUGAAGUCAAUUCCAGUUAGCUAAGGAUAGUAACAAACUAUAUCUAUAUUAAUUUAUUAAUAUUUUUAUAUUAAAGAAUAAAAAAAACUUAUGCAUUCCUUCCCUUUGGAAGGGAUAAUACAGCCUUGCGAAACUAAAAAAAAAAAAUGUAAAUUCACAGCCUUGGGAAUUCAAUACCACCACUCACAAGCAUAUAUAACCUUGAAAAUUAGUCUUCAUUUGUCUUAAUCUUUAAAAAUCUUUAUAUUAUUUUUUUACUGCAUUCUAGAAACUCCAAUGUAUUCUAAAUUCAAAUCACAAAAGUUCUCUUUUGUAUUCAUGGAUAUUAUAUAUUACAUUGACUUAUAAAAUUAUUAGUUUGUAACAAAUGAACUACAAACAUUUUAUUCAUAUUGUAAAUAAAAUAAACAUUCAAUAAUAGUUUUCUUUAAUGACUAAAAUCCUUCAUAAAUGCCCCCUAUCCUUUUAAAUACUUAGAAGACAUUCUAUAUUAAUUUUAAUUAUUAAGGGAUCAUUUGCUAAAAAGAGAAAAUGUAAAUUUAAUUCAUUUUUGUUCAAGUAAGUGUGCUUUUGAAAAACUAUUUCAUAAGUUUGGAGUAACUUGAAGAAAAACAAUUCUCCUUUGUGCUGAAAAUGGGCCAUUUAUUAGAAUUUUGCUUUACUUUUAGUGUUUGAUUUAAACAUAAAAGAAGAGAAACAAGUGAAUUCUCUCCAGAUAUUUUCAAAAUACAUUUUGCUGUGAACACAUUUUAGAAAAUAUUUUGUGUCUCAAUUUUAGGAUCAAAACAUAUAAAAUGGUAUUAUACUGAUCUUAGAAAACUUGUAAUCUAGUAUCAUGUGUAUAAGAGUUCAUUUAAAUAUGGAUAUUAUUGUACAAAGAUAAUUUGCCUUUAGAGUGUCUAGUCAAACAGAGAGGGCUUUUGGGCUACUGACUAAUGGGUAUCAGUUUUUGUCAUUUGUAUUACUGAUCUCUAGAGUGGUGUGGAUAAAGAAGGUCAAAAUGGUCCCUGAUGAACGGAAACUUUUAAAACCAUUUGGAAAAGUUAAUGAAUUAGAUUUCCCUGCACUUGAAGAUAUUAGGAUUGGGAGAUCAAGACUCCCAUCAGCCAAAUCAAGAAUAUUCACAGUUGACAGGAAAACUCAAAGUUUCCUCUUCCCUCCAGAGAAAUGUCCUCCCAUACCUAAGAGGUGGUAAGUCAUAGGAAUGAUAUUAUUAACUUAAUGAGUGUGUUUCACAAGCAAGGAACAUUAAGCACACUAACCUAAUUUUUGUUGUAUUUUUAUGUAGCUUUAUGUAAUUGCUUGAAAAUGCUUUUUAUAAAAAAUACUCCUGUUACUUUACAAAACAUGUUUUCUUCUGUGGAUAAAAUUCCAAUGCUGAUAUUAUUGUUUUUUUUUUUUUUUAAUCUUUGC
rnacentral:lncRNA from 1 species